GCUAGGAUGAACGCUAGCUACAGGCUUAACACAUGCAAGUCGAGGGGCAGCAUGGUCUUAGCUUGCUAAGACUGAUGGCGACUGGCGCACGGGUGAGUAACGCGUAUCCAACCUGGCCCUCAGUAGGGGAUAGCCCGGCGAAAGUCGGAUUAAUACCCUAUGCACUCCUUUGCGGGCAUCUAACGAGGAGUAAAGAUUCAUCGCUGGGGGAUGGGGAUGCGUCUGAUUAGCUUGUUGGCGGGUAACGGCCCACCAAGGCUACGAUCAGUAGGGGUUCUGAGAGGAAGGUCCCCCACACUGGUACUGAGACACGGACCAGACUCCUACGGGAGGCAGCAGUGAGGAAUAUUGGUCAAUGGGCGAGAGCCUGAACCAGCCAAGUAGCGUGCAGGACGACUGCCCUAUGGGUUGUAAACUGCUUUUGUCAGGGAAUAAAGUGAGGGACGCGUCCCUUUUUGUAUGUACCUGAUGAAUAAGGACCGGCUAAUUCCGUGCCAGCCGCCGC
rnacentral:rRNA from 1 species